rnacentral:rRNA from 1 species
AGGCAGCAGUGAGGAUAUUGGUCAAUGGACGCGAGUCUGAACCAGCCAAGUAGCGUGAAGGAUGACUGCCCUAUGGGUUGUAAACUUCUUUUAUAUGGGAAUAAAGUGGUCCACGUGUGGACUUUUGUAUGUACCAUAUGAAUAAGGAUCGGCUAACUCCGUGCCAGCAGCCGCGGUAAUACGGAGGAUCCGAGCGUUAUCCGGAUUUAUUGGGUUUAAAGGGAGCGUAGGCGGAUUGUUAAGUCAGUUGUGAAAGUUUGCGGCUCAACCGUAAAAUUGCAGUUGAUACUGGMWRUCUUGAGUGCAGUWGAGGUGGGCGGAAUUCGUGGUGUAGCGGUGAAAUGCUUAGAUAUCACGA